rnacentral:miRNA from 1 species
AUGUAUAUAUGUGUGUGUGUGUAUAUAUAUGUAUAUAUAUGUAUAUAUAUACACACACAUAUACACACA